rnacentral:rRNA from 1 species
UACGUAGGGUGCAAGCGUUAAUCGGAAUUACUGGGCGUAAAGCGUGCGCAGGCGGUGAUGUAAGACAGAUGUGAAAUCCCCGGGCUUAACCUGGGAACUGCAUUUGUGACUGGCAAGCUAGAGUAUGGUAGAGGGGGGUAGAAUUCCACGUGUAGCAGUGAAAUGCGUAGAGAUGUGGAGGAAUACCGAUGGCGAAGGCAGCCCCCUGGGCCAAUACUGACGCUCAUGCACGAAAGCGUGGGGAGCAAACAGG